GCCUGAGUGGCUCAGUCGGUUGAGCACUCGACUUGGGCUCAGGUCACGAGAGUUCAAGCCCCUCGUCGGGCU
rnacentral:tRNA from 1 species